GGGGAUAUAGCUCAGUUCGUAGAGUGCUUGCCUCACAUGUAUAAGGCUAUGGGUUCAAUCCUUAUAGCACCA
rnacentral:tRNA from 1 species